rnacentral:lncRNA from 1 species
UUAAUAGUCUCAUUUAGUCCGUUAGCUUCAAGGCGCACAUAGUUAUUCCUUGAAAUGACUCCUAUGUAGCUAAAAUUCUCUAAAUAAAUGGUUCCUUGUUUUUUGUUGGAUUCUGACCUCAUGAGUUGUUAGCUUUUAUGCAAGGUCAAUAUUGGUCAUUCUCUAUCAAUUGUGUAUUUUAGGUUUUUUUGCAUUAGUCAAGUAACAUGUCUAGAUCCUCACCCCCUAAUACUUGGUUAGCUUAUUGAGUUUGACCCUUCCAUGGUCAAAUUCAUAGCCUAAACUAAUCUUCUCUUCCUUUAAGUGUAUCCUGUAUUUGCUUUAAGGCUUCUUGCUAUAACUUUGAGGUUUAAAAACUCACUUGAUGCAUGAGUUUAACCUUUUUGACAUGGUUGAACCCAUGAAUCAGGCUGUCC